rnacentral:rRNA from 1 species
UACGGAGGGUGCAAGCGUUACUCGGAAUCACUGGGCGUAAAGAGCGCGUAGGCGGGAUAGCAAGUCAGAUGUGAAAUCCUAUGGCUUAACCAUAGAACUGCAUUUGAAACUGUGCUUCUUGAGUGCUGGAGAGGCAGACGGAAUUCCUAGUGUAGCGGUGAAAUGCGUAGAUAUUAGGAGGAACACCAGUGGCGAAGGCGGUCUGCUGGACAGUAACUGACGGUGAGGCGCGAAAGCGUGGGGAGCAAACAGG